rnacentral:lncRNA from 1 species
UUUGUCAGAGUUGGUUUUGUGAUGAUCUUGCUUUAGGAGAGGGAAAUCCUUAAUAAGUAUCUUGGCUUGCCACAUUUAUGAUAGAUGUCAUAAUUUUUUGGCUUGCUAGAACUACCCCUUUUUGGAACGCCUCUAUUCCUGUGAACGAUUUUCUGGAGUCUUCUUGCCAAGUAAGUCAUAUCACCAUCCUCACAACUUGAAUCAUUGUUGUAUGUUUUGAGGAGCAGGUUCUUCUCCCUUUUGGGAUCUCUUCUUUUGUUGUCCUUCUUCUUCAUUUCAUAUAUUUUGAAAUUUCCAACAGGUUCAUUUAUGGUCAGCGGCUGCAAGUCCUUUGCAUCAGUGAUAAAGUCUAUCUUGUUUUUCCAUGAGCUAGGUAGGACACUGAGAAUUUUCCCAACAAGCUUAUUUCUUGGAAUGAUUUUCCGUAGAGAGUGGAGCUCAUUGAUAAUAGAGGUGACUCGGGUAUGCAUAUCUUGAAUUGAUUUAUCGUCCUCCAUCCUAAAGAGCUCAUAUUCAAUUCUAAGCAUGUCAAACUUUGACUGCUUGACUUGUGUUGUUCCUUCAUGAGCUGUCUG